CGUACCUUUUGUAUAAUGGGUCAGCGACUUACAUUCAGUAGCAAGCUUAACCGAUAGGGGAGGCGUAGCGAAAGCGAGUCCGAAUAGGGCGUCCAGUUGCUGGGUGUAGACCCGAAACCAAGUGAUCUAUCCAUGGCCAGGUUGAAGGUGCCGUAACAGGUACUGGAGGACCGAACCCACUAAUGUUGAAAAAUUAGGGGAUGAGCUGUGGAUAGGGGUGAAAGGCUAAUCAAACUUGGAGAUAGCUGGUUCUCUCCGAAAACUAUUUAGGUAGUGCCUCGUAUAUCAUUCUCGGGGGUAGAGCACUGUUAUGGCUAGGGGGUACAUACGUACUUACCAAACCAUUGCAAACUCCGAAUACCGAGAAAUGCAAUUACGGGAGACAGACUGCGGGUGCUAACGUCCGUAGUCAAGAGGGAAACAACCCAGACCGACAGCUAAGGUCCCAAAUGACGUGCUAAGUGGAAAACGAGGUGGGAAGGCACAGACAGCCAGGAGGUUGGCUUAGAAGCAGCCAUCCUUUAAAGAAAGCGUAAUAGCUCACUGGUCGAGUCGUCCUGCGCGGAAGAUGUAACGGGGCUAAGCACGUAACCGAAGCUUCGGAUACUAAUUUAUUAGUAUGGUAGGAGAGCGUUCUGUAGGCCUGUGAAGGUGUUCUGUGAGGAAUGCUGGAGGUAUCAAAGGGGGUGAAAAGCCCCCUCGCCGAAAGCCCAAGGUUUCCUGCGCAACGUUCAUCGGCGCAGGGUGAGUCGGCCCCUAAGGUGAGGCAGAGAUGCGUAGCUGAUGGGAAAUAGGUUAAUAUUCCUAUACCUCUAUACAAUGCGAUGUGGGGACGGAGAAGGUUAGAUCAGCCGGGUGUUGGAUGUCCCGGUUCAAGCGAGUAGGUUGGUUCUUUAGGCAAAUCCGGAGAGCUAAGACCGAGACGUGAUAACGAGUGUACUUUGUACAUGAAGUGAUUGAUACCAUGCUUCCAAGAAAAGCCACUAAGCUUCAGUUGUAUAAGACCGUACCGCAAACCGACACAGGUGGGCAGGAUGAGAAUUCUAAGGCGCUUGAGAGAACUCUAGAGAAGGAACUCGGCAAAAUAACACCGUAACUUCGGGAGAAGGUGUGCCCCGGUAGUGUGUAGCGAUUUACUCGUGAAGCAUGAUGGGGUUGCAGUGAAAAGGUGGCUGCGACUGUUUAAUAAAAACAUAGCACUGUGCUAACACGAAAGUGGACGUAUACGGUGUGACGCCUGCCCGGUGCUGGAAGAUUAAAUGAUGGGGUGCAAGCUCUUGAUUGAAGUCCCAGUAAACGGCGGCCGUAACUAUAACGGUCCUAAGGUAGCGAAAUUCCUUGUCGGGUAAGUUCCGACCCGCACGAAUGGCGUAACGAUGGCCACACUGUCUCCUCUAGGGACUCAGCGAAGUUGAAGUGGUUGUGAAGAUGCAAUCUACCCGCGGCUAGACGGAAAGACCCCAUGAACCUUUACUGCAGCUUUACAUUGGACUUUGAUAACAUCUGUGUAGGAUAGGUGGGAGACGUUGAAAUAGGGACGCUAGUUCUUAUGGAGUCACCCUUGAAAUACCACCCUGGUGUUGUUGAGGUUCUAACCUUGGUCCAUUAUCUGGAUCGGGGACCGUGUAUGGUGGGCAGUUUGACUGGGGCGGUCUCCUCCCAAAGAGUAACGGAGGAGUGCGAAGGUAACCUAGGUACGGUCGGAAAUCGUACUGAUAGUGCAAUGGCAUAAGGUUGCUUGACUGCGAGACGGACAGGUCGAGCAGGUGCGAAAGCAGGUCAUAGUGAUCCGGUGGUUCUGUAUGGAAGGGCCAUCGCUCAACGGAUAAAAGGUACUCUGGGGAUAACAGGCUGAUUCCUCCCAAGAGUUCAUAUCGACGGGGGAGUUUGGCACCUCGAUGUCGGCUCAUCACAUCCUGGGGCUGUAGCCGGUCCCAAGGGUAUGGCUGUUCGCCAUUUAAAGUGGUACGUGAGCUGGGUUUAAAACGUCGUGAGACAGUUUGGUCCCUAUCUGCCGUGGGCGCUGGAAAUUUGAAGGGACCUGCUCCUAGUACGAGAGGACCGGAGUGGACGCAUCUCUGGUGAACCGGUUAUCACGCCAGUGGUAUCGCCGGGUAGCUAAAUGCGGAAGAGAUAAACGCUGAAAGCAUCUAAGCGUGAAACUCGCCUUGAGAUGAGAUUUCCCUGGGGGUUUAACCCCCCUAAAGAGUCGUUCGAGACCAGGACGUUGAUAGGUCAGGUGUGGAAGCGCUGUAAGGCGUGAAGCUAACUGAUACUAAUUGCUCGUGAGGCUUGAUC
rnacentral:rRNA from 1 species